rnacentral:rRNA from 1 species
GAUGAACGCUGACAGAAUGCUUAACACAUGCAAGUCCACUUGAACUUCGGUUUGGGUGGCGGACGGGUGAGUAACGCGUAAAGAACUUGCCUCACAGCUAGGGACAACAUUUGGAAACGAAUGCUAAUACCUAAUAUUAUGAUUUUAGGGCAUCCUAGAAUUAUGAAAGCUAUAUGCGCUGUGAGAGAGCUUUGCGUCCCAUUAGCUAGUUGGAGAGGUAACGGCUCACCAAGGCGAUGAUGGGUAGCCGGCCUGAGAGGGUGAACGGCCACAAGGGGACUGAGACACGGCCCUUACGCCUACGGGAGGCAGCAGUGGGGAAUAUUGGACAAUGGACCAAGAGUCUGAUCCAGCAAUUCUGUGUGCACGAUGAAGUUUUUCGGAAUGUAAAGUGCUUUCAGUUGGGAAGAAAAAAAUGACGGUACCAACAGAAGAAGUGACGGCUAAAUACGUG